GGCUACACACGUGCUACAAUGGGUAGAACAGAGAGUUGCAAAGCCGUGAGGUGGAGCUAAUCUCAGAAAACUAUUCUUAGUUCGGAUUGUACUCUGCAACUCGAGUACAUGAAGUUGGAAUCGCUAGUAAUCGCGAAUCAGCAAUGUCGCGGUGAAUACGUUCUCGGGUCUUGUACACACCGCCCGUCACACCACGAGAGUUGGUUGCACCUGAAGUAGCAGGCCUAACCGCAAGGAGGGAUGCUCCGAGGGUGUGAUUAGCGAUUGGGGUGAAGUCGUAACAAGGUAUCCGUACGGGAACGU
rnacentral:rRNA from 1 species